rnacentral:rRNA from 1 species
GACGAACGCUGGCGGCGUGCUUAACACAUGCAAGUCGAACGGAAAGGCCCUGCUUUUGUGGGGUGCUCGAGUGGCGAACGGGUGAGUAACACGUGAGUAACCUGCCCUUGACUUUGGGAUAACUUCAGGAAACUGGGGCUAAUACCGGAUAGGAGCUCCUGCUGCAUGGUGGGGGUUGGAAAGUUUCGGCGGUUGGGGAUGGACUCGCGGCUUAUCAGCUUGUUGGUGGGGUAGUGGCUUACCAAGGCUUUGACGGGUAGCCGGCCUGAGAGGGUGACCGGCCACAUUGGGACUGAGAUACGGCCCAGACUCCUACGGGAGGCAGCAGUGGGGAAUAUUGCACAAUGGGCGGAAGCCUGAUGCAGCAACGCCGCGUGCGGGAUGACGGCCUUCGGGUUGUAAACCGCUUUCGCCUGUGACGAAGCGUGAGUGACGGUAAUGGGUAAAGAAGCACCGGCUAACUACGUGCCAGCAGCCGCGGUGAUACGUAGGGUGCGAGCGUUGUCCGGAUUUAUUGGGCGUAAAGGGCUCGUAGGUGGUUGAUCGCGUCGGAAGUGUAAUCUUGGGGCUUAACCCUGAGCGUGCUUUCGAUACGGGUUGACUUGAGGAAGGUAGGGGAGAAUGGAAUUCCUGGUGGAGCGGUGGAAUGCGCAGAUAUCAGGAGGAACACCAGUGGCGAAGGCGGUUCUCUGGGCCUUUCCUGACGCUGAGGAGCGAAGGCGUGGGGAGCGAACAGGCUUAGAUACCCUGGUAGUCCACGCUGUAAACGGUGGGUACUAGGUGUGGGGUCCAUUCCACGGGUUCCGUGCCGUAGCUAACGCUUUAAGUACCCCGCCUGGGGAGUACGGCCGCAAGGCUAAAACUCAAAGGAAUUGACGGGGCCCCGCACAAGCGGCGGAGCAUGCGGAUUAAUUCGAUGCAACGCGUAGAACCUUACCUGGGUUUGACAUGGAUCGGGAGCGCUCAGAGAUGGGUGUGCCUCUUUUGGGGUCGGUUCACAGGUGGUGCAUGGCUGUCGUCAGCUCGUGUCGUGAGAUGUUGGGUUAAGUCCCGCAACGAGCGCAACCCUUGUUCACUGUUGCCAGCACGUUAUGGUGGGGACUCAGUGGAGACCGCCGGGGUCAACUCGGAGGAAGGUGGGGAUGACGUCAAGUCAUCAUGCCCCUUAUGUCCAGGGCUUCACGCAUGCUACAAUGGCUGGUACAGAGAGUGGCGAGCCUGUGAGGGUGAGCGAAUCUCGGAAAGCCGGUCUCAGUUCGGAUUGGGGUCUGCAACUCGACCUCAUGAAGUCGGAGUCGCUAGUAAUCGCAGAUCAGCAACGCUGCGGUGAAUACGUUCCCGGG